AUUAGAAAUGGACGCAAGUCUGAUCUAGCAACACCGCGUGUGCGAUGAAGGCCUUCGGGUUGUAAAGCACUUUUUGGAAGGAUUAGGAAGGAAUGUACUUCCAGAAUAAGUCUCGGCUAACUACGUGCCAGCAGCCGCGGUAACACGUAGGAGGCGAACGUUAUCCGGAUUUACUGGGCGUAAAGCGCGUGUAGGUGGUUCUGUAAGUAGGGCGUGAAAGCUCCUGGCUCAACUGGGAGAGGCCGUUCUAAACUGCAGAGCUAGAGGAUGGUAGAGGGAGGUGGAAUUCCGGGUGUAGCGGUGGAAUGCGCAGAUAUCCGGAGGAACACCAGUGGCGAAGGCGGCCUCCUGGACCAUUCCUGACACUCAGACGCGAAAGCUAGGGUAGCAAACGG
rnacentral:rRNA from 1 species